AUACCGUGGUGUGGGCAAUUCUUCAAUAGCAUCUUGAAUCGGUUGAAAGCUUCAUGAAAUCACUCACCUAAUUGCUAUUGGAAGUUCUGAAUAUCCUUCCGAGCAU
rnacentral:snoRNA from 1 species